rnacentral:rRNA from 1 species
GACGAACGCUGGCGGCGUGCUUAACACAUGCAAGUCGAACGGAAGGGCCCUGCUUUUGUGGGGUGCUCGAGUGGCGAACGGGUGAGUAACACGUGAGUAACCUGCCCUUGACUUUGGGAUAACUUCAGGAAACUGGGGCUAAUACCGGAUAGGAGCUCCUGCUGCAUGUUGUGGGUUGGAAAGUUUCGGCGGUUGGGGAUGGACUCGCGGCUUAUCAGCUUGUUGGUGGGGUAGUGGCUUACCAAGGCUUUGACGGGUAGCCGGCCUGAGAGGGUGACCGGCCACAUUGGGACUGAGAUACGGACCAGAAGCCUACGGGAGGCAGCAGUGGGGAAUAUUGCACAAUGGGCGGAAGCCUGAUGCAGCAACGCCGCGUGCGGGAUGACGGCCUUCGGGUUGUAAACCGCUUUCGCAGGUGACGAAGCGUGAGUGACGGUAAUGGGUAAAGAAGCACCGGCUAACUACGUG